AAUGGGCGAAAGCCUGACGCAGCGACGCCGCGUGCGGGAUGACGGCCUUCGGGUUGUAAACCGCUGUCGGGAGGGACGAAGCUCUGACGGUACCUCCAAAGGAAGCACCGGCUAACUCUGUGCCAGCAGCCGCGGUAAUACAGAGGGUGCAAGCGUUGUCCGGAAUCACUGGGCGUAAAGGGCGCGUAGGCGGCCUGGUAAGUCGGGGGUGAAACGCUGCGGCUCAACCGCAGCACUGCCUUCGAGACUGUCAGGCUUGAGCACGGUAGAGGCAGGUGGAAUUCCCGGUGUAGCGGUGGAAUGCGUAGAGAUCGGGAAGAACAUCGGUGGCGAAGGCGGCCUGCUGGGCCGUUGCUGACGCUGAGGCGCGACAGCGUGGGGAGCAAA
rnacentral:rRNA from 1 species